rnacentral:tRNA from 1 species
GGGGUUGUGGCUCAGAGGUAGAGCGCUUGCCUACCAUGCAUGAGGCACUGAGUUUCAUUCUCAGCACCA